ACACUAUAGGGGUGUUCACACGGCACACAUUUGCUCCGGCGCUGAACCGAUGUAUUUUGUUGCAAUAUAUUUUGCACCGCAGCAAAUUGUCGUGACAGCACCGGCACAGCGUCAGUGCAGCCCCAUUUGCGUUCACACGGCAGUUUCUGCAGUGGAGCAAAACGACAGAAAACAAAUGAGCUGUCGUGUUGGUUCUUUUUAAAACGUAUACACAACUCAAGCGACUACUAGACAGGCACGUCCUUCUCCUUCUCGAUUUCCGUGCCUUCUGCUCGAGAGUGACCGCCCAAGAAAACGUAAAUGAACGAUGACUUCAAUGACACUCAGAAAAGCAAACACUAAUGCGCCAAACAGAAAAUCAAGAGAGGAAAUCACAAAAUAAAUUCUAUUGGGGUUGGGGGGUUGUGAACAAACAACAAAGGAACAAACAACUCCGAGACAGUCCAGUCUCCUACAAAAGGAAAGAUGUUACCAGCCAAGUCGUGUGUCGUUAUUAAACAAACACAUGACGGAGGUCCGACAGAGCACGAAAGCAACGCAUUCUCGCCAUACGUACUCUUCACAAGCAUUUGCUCUGGAGCAAAUUUAACCCAGUUGCGUUCACACGUGCAAAUUUACAUCGGUGCUGCUUCGCAAACGAGCAUUUGCUCCGGAGCAAAUUUUUAAACGACCUCCCUGAGGUAUAUCAAAUUUGGUCCGGUGUAAGCCUUUUUCCGGGGCUAUGCCGGAGCUAAUUUGCACGUGUGAACGCUCUACUGGGGCAGCCCCGGCGUAGCACCGGACCAAAUCUUGCCGUGUGAACACCCCUUAUGAA